rnacentral:lncRNA from 1 species
CAACACCACACCCUCCUGAUCACCAUAGCUUUAUGCAACAACAAGAAACAAAUUUAUUAGCUAACCUAACCACUAAUGACGCAAGAGACAAUUCUAAGGACUUUCAAAACAGCAAAGUAGGAGCAGCUGCUACCUCUAGGGAUGAGGGAGAAACUCAAAAAUGCAUACAAAAACCAUUGCAUGAAAAGUGACUGGAUUUGUACAUAGCGUCAGGAGAUGUGCGUAGUGUCAAAGUAUCUCAUCACACAUUACUUGAUAAUUACAAAUGAGAAAAAUGAACCUUCACAGUGGCAAGACUUGACUUCUACCUCUUUCAAAAAGAUGCAAUUGUCCAAUUAUUGGUGAAAUUGUCAUUUCAUGCUAUUGGCUAUUUGAAAUUCCUCCUCUAAUUUCAGAAUAAAUCACUGAAAUUGACAUCGGCCAGUCUGAAUUUCAAGAAAUUACCUGCUGAAGACAAGAGGGAUCUCUUCUUCAGAUUUGCAGUCUGGGGAAGACACAGCCUCUACUGUACUUUAGAACCUGAGAUAUGGUGGUGGAGGGAGCCCUGGGUCGAGUG